rnacentral:rRNA from 1 species
UACGAGGGGGGCAAGCGUUGUUCGGAAUUAUUGGGCGUAAAGGGCGCGUAGGCGGUGCGGUAAGUCACCUGUGAAAACUCUGGGCUCAACUCAGAGCCUGCAGGCGAAACUGCCGUGCUUGAGUGUGGGAGAGGUGCGUGGAAUUCCCGGUGUAGCGGUGAAAUGCGCAGAUAUCAGGAGGAACACCCGUGGCGAAAGCGGCUCUCUGGGACGGUACUGACGCUGAGACGCGAAAGCGUGGGGAGCAAACAGG